AGGGGGGGGUGCGCGGAAGAGGCGCGCGCCUCCCCUUCCAGGCGGUUUGUAGUGGUCCCGCAGUUCUUUCCAGGGGCGUCUCACGAACGGAGACCCCCGCCAGAACGGGCAGCGCGGGGAGCGAGCAGGUCGGUCUCGCGGGGCCGCAGCGUGCCCGGCUGAGGGCCGGCUAAAACCGGAUCCAGACGAAGGAAGCAAGCGUGCGUGGACGCUCUCGAUCGCCGCCCCACACCGUAAACGUGCGCCCCGUUGACAAAACCAUUCUGUGGUCAAACAAGCCUAGAAAUGCGCGGCUACACGAAGCCGAGGGGCUCUUCAGCGCCAGGCCUCUCAAAGGUGCUGGUGCGCGUGUGGCCAGCACGGAGCAGCGUGUUCUCGGUGCAGCUCCCGCGCUUGUCCGACGUCGGGCUGGACUCAGGGCGUCUGUGGGACGAGCGGCCCGCACGACACCCCGUGAGGAAACCCUGCUGGGAGCCGCGGGACCCAGGCCGGGUGACUCCUCUGUUCGCCGCCGCCGAGUGCCGACGAAGCGCGCCUCCUCGCGUGACUCGACCUCAUCCCCGGGCGCGUCGGCGUGCGGAGAAGCACACGACGAGCGACUUGCAAAUGUGAAGGAUCAUGGAAGUACCAAGUACUCGGACAUUAAGUUCUCAAACUCCUGCCUAAAAACACACGUGGAGCAACCGUCACGUAGGGCUGCUGCGGAGGCGUCCUGCUCUCCGGCUUUCGUCCUUUCCCCACUGGUCCCCGCACCUCCGGUGGUCUCCGCACCUCACCUACUCUCUGCACCUCCCGUGGUCCCCGCACCUCCGGUCGUCCCCGCACCUCAGGUACUCUCUGAACCUCCCGUGGUCCCCGCACCUCAGGUGGUCCCCGCACCUCAGGUACUCUCUGCAUCUCAGGUACUCUCUGCACCUCAGGUGGUCCCCGCAACUCCGGUGGUCCCUGCACCUCCCGUGGUCCCCGCACCUCAGGUACUCUCUGCACCUCAGGUACUCUCUGCACCUCCCGUGCUCUGCCGUGUGCGCAGUGGUGUGCGUGGUCACAGCUCAGAGACACGGGUUUUCGUCUGUUGGUUUCCCGCUAGUGUGUGCCAAGCCCCCGAGGGCGCCUAGUACGCAGUGGGUGAGCUCCGUCCCUCGGUGCUGGGGCCGGAGCUGAGGGCAGCGCCGCCGAGCGCGCAUUACACCUGCUUGCAGCUAGUAACUGAGGUGUGGACAGGCCCGGCGACUUCUCCCGCGCCGCCGGUGAGGAACUGCGCGGCCUGCGGUCAGGCCACCAGCCCUGCCUUGCCCCGCCCCAGCGUCCGUUUAGCGGGGGCUCUGAUCGCGUCCGAUGCCGCAGGACGAGACUGUCGCAGGGCUCACCAGCCUUCAGAAAUGCCAGCAAGAAGGAAGACUGGGGAGGAAGGCCUGCGGUUCUUUGUAACGAGGAGACGGCGGCCUUCGCAAAAGCUGUUUCAGUAGCGUUGGAGCAAGAGCCGGAGAGCAGAGGAUGAGGGAGUGAAAGGAAAGUCGGUAGAAGGAAGGAGAGAGCCGAUAAUUACUCCUCCUCGGAAAUUCUGGGGGUGAGAAGAUGGGGAAGACGAGUUUCACGGAGAGGAGAAGUUCUUGUUCAGGGUGAGUAGGACUUGAGCGCGUGCAUGGGAAGAGGCAGAGACGGCAGGGACAGGUAAGAGUGUAGGGACGAGUGUAGAGGUACGGAGAGACGGUAAGGACAGGUAAGAGUGUAGGGACGAGUGUAGAGGUACGGGGAGACGGCAAGGACAGGUAAGAGUGUAGGGACGAGUGUAGAGGUACGGGGAGACGGCAAGGACAGGUAAGAGUGUAGGGACGAGUGUAGAGGUACGGGGAGACGGCAAGGACAGGUAAGAGUGUAGGGACGAGUGUAGAGGUACGGGGAGGGCUGCUUUCCAGGGAAGCUGGCUUAGCAGGGACGGCGAUGCGCCAGCGUCCGCGGGUUUCCUGAGCCAGGGGAUGGCUGCACUGAGAGGCAUGGCUGUGGCCUUACCUUAUCCCGCCACUUCUCUUUCCCUUGUCCCUUGAAGGAAACUGUUCCUGUUUUCCUCAGCAGCUUUUCCAAGUUACCACUUUCUUCAGUCCUCCUCUCUCAGUCCCAAAUGUCGUUGUCUUGUGCGGCUGAAGCAGACGACGUCGACUGCUGUCUCCCAGAGAAGAGGGACCAGCGGCCACGAGCUCUUGCAGCUGUCUGCCUUGUGGCCUCACUCUGCUGUUGCUCACUGUACCUCCUUCCCUGCCUUCUUGAUGGAAAAGUCCCUGUUGUCCCCAAGUUUAAAAUGUGAGCCUGGAUUUGUCGUCUGUCCUUAAAGACCUUCUUUAUCAAUUUUUCCUUCAUUCUAAGACUGUAUUUACAAGUUUUGUAUCCAUACUUACAAACGAGAUCUCCUAUAUAUAGAUUAUUCCCUCUAGGUCUUACUUUCCUGAAUUUCCAACCAAAAUGUAAUGAUUUCCUUUAUACAACAGCACAUAUGCAGCUUCUGCUGCACUGGGCCUGGUGUUUGACUUUGGGCAAUCCUAAGAUGAAGAGCUUCAGGCAUAUACUGAGGAAGAUAGAAACAUAAACAGACUAUAAAACCAUGUAUUAAGUGUAACAAUGCAGAUUUUCACAGUAAAAUGGACAUCUCUUCCCACUGGUUGCUCUUCCUACGAUUAGUUUCUGAGUGACAUGGAGUUCCUUUGUUCUUCUAAGCUGGUUUGAAUUGGGUUUCUGUGGCUUGGAGGAAAGGAAUCUUGGUUAAUAGACUCAAGUUGUCUGACUCAGAAGGUGGCAGGGAGGCCUCCAGGAAAGCCUUGUGGAAGAGGUAAGGUGUGAAGUGAGUAAGAAUUAAGUGAGUGAGAACCAGGCUGUAGCCAGAGGAAGUGAGGGGACACAGGUGGGUAUGAGGAGGCGGUGAGGGUGGAGGCAGGCUGGUCAGCACCAGCAGAGGCACUGAAGGGAAACACACUCUGCGUGUGUGCAGGAAAGUGUCAGCUGGUGUUUCUGGAGAGGCAGGUACAGGAAGAGCCGCUGAAAAGACUGGAGGAAUGGCCAGAGACUCAGGGCCUGGAGUGACACGGACAUCGUCUGUAGGACACAGGGAGCCAAGCAGGAGAGUCACUAAGUGUGUAGCUGUGGAGGUCAGAUACGAAGAAGACAAAUCUUGAGACACAGCAUCUUCAGUCUCGAGCCCAUUUUCUGACUGCCGGCUCUGCCAAACAUCCCACCGCUUCACCUUUUUCUUUUCAAGUAAGAGAGUGUUGUGCCUUGCUGCUGCUACAGAUGACGACCUUUAUUCUGUGCCCCCAACAUCUCACAUCAACCUUUAAAUCAUAUUCAUGGAAUUUUUGUAAUUGGAAGAGGAGAACAAAACCUGGGAUGAAAGGAAAGGCUGCAAAGAAGAAAAGUAAAGCAGGAUGGGGCCCUGGGCUGAGUUUGAGCCCCUCUUGAGGGUGAAGGACAUACCGCAGUGUGGACCGAAGGUCGAAGACCCUUAUCCAAGGUGGUUGGCCAGUAGUUGCUCAAUCAAAAAGUCUUAUAAAAAAAAUGGGAUAAUGAUCUUAAAAGAAGUGUGUACAGCUUUAAUUCUAUUUGAUGUAAAUAAAUACAGUAUAAGAAAAAAAGAUUUGCCCA
rnacentral:lncRNA from 1 species